rnacentral:lncRNA from 1 species
UGAAAACAUAUGCAUCACCUUCAUUAACAUUCACUGUUAUAUAAAGCCAUGUGGCCUAACUACCUCUUUACUAGUUGUUAGAUGACUUUACAAGGACAGCCCUACUUAGCUUGUUAUAGGAAACAUGCUUGUUUGCAUACUAAAAAUGAAAAAAAAAAAAAACAGCCUUAGAAGUAAAUAGCAUUGAACCUGUAAAUAUUCAUGCAAGCAAACACUACCCUUUAUUUAUUGUAAUGAUUAUUGAUGGGCCACAUAUCAAUUCUUCAAGAACAGUGUUCCUUCUUCUACUUAAGCAAAACAUGAAGUUACUUUAACUUGUAAUCUGCACAGCUUCUGUGUGUCUGAAAAAAGAAAUAAUAAUUUGUACUUAAAUGUACUGAAAUUUGGACUAUUUUUACAGGAUAAAGAGCUAAUUCAACAUUAUACUUUGAAUGUGAAUUAUUCACUUACUCAUUUGCAUUUAUUUGUUGGCCUGUCUUUAUGGUCAGAUGUUUUAAAAGACAGCUUACACACAGCUAAACAGGAACUAGGUGAAAUGAUGUGCCUUUGGGUUGAACAAGCUCAAUAUGUUAAUCUUGACUUAAUUUAAUUUGUUCUAAUGCUAGCAGUGAAUUUUUAAAUGGUUCAUUUGGUGCUUAAUUAUUGUUUAAGGGAUUCAGUAUGCUUUGAAAACGUUCAUAUUGGCAUCAAAUGCAAAACUCAUUCAUCUGGGUACAUUUCUUAUCUUUCCACUAAAUUGAAUAUGAGCAAUAAUAGGAGGAAAACUUGUUGAUUUUAUUGCUUAGAGACAGCAAAGGUUUCUUCUAGAAAGGCUUUUAAUGUCAUGAUACAUCUUAUUUCCUGUAAUAUCAUGCAAGAAGCAUAUGCACCAUUAGUGUCAAGCUUCUGUAACAAGUAGUGGUCUUUUAUUGAGGCUGUCUCAGGAAGGUGUAGGAGAUGUUGAACGGUGUUGGACAAAGGGCUCAGAGUAGGUCAUGUGUUUAGAUGAAGAUUUUUUGAUAAUUUGCAUUUCUCCUAUUUAUUAAAGCUAUUUGAAUUUUUCUUUAUGGAAAAGAUUUCCUGUUCUAAGUGGGCAUAAUGUCUUUUAGUCAUCCUUGUUGAUGGCAUCCUUAUGUGUUUGUAGAAUAGAUGCAGCACAGACCCUGCUAUGGUACGUGCUGUGGCAUAUUAACAUGUUAAAAUAAAUGUAAUGUAACAUAUUAAUAUGGUAAAGUAUUGUGGACAGUGAUAAGUAUGUG